GGUUUUGUGGUAUAAUGGUUAGUACGCUGAAGUUGGAAUUCAGUGAUCCGAAUUCAAAUCCCGCUGUAUCCU